rnacentral:sRNA from 1 species
AUUCUGCCCAUGCGGGGAAGGAUGAGAAGCUUCGACCAAGGUUCGACUCGAGCGCCAGCGAGAGAGCGUUGCCGCAGGCAACGACCCGAAGG